AGCGAGCCUUUAGGCCGCGGCGUGCGCGCGUCGGCGCCCUUGUCUCGGCUGUGGCGCGCGCGCGCCCGGCCGAGGUUGCGGGGUGGGGGGGCGUCUCCUUUGCCUCAGCGCCCGCGAGGCGAUCCGGGCGGGAGGCGGCGCUGCUGCUGCUGCUGCUGGUUGCGAGCGAGGGCGGCCGCCGCCGCGCUUGGGCUGGGCUUCCCUGGCAGGGCCCUUCCGCUCUCGGCAUGUGAAGCGAAGAGCGGCUGCAGGCUGCCGAAGGGGCGGCGGUCGCCUCGGGCUUCCCAGUGCGGGGACGGGCGUGCGAGCCCCCCGGCGCGGUCCCAGCCCCUCCGGGGAAGGGCGGGUAGGCGGGCGGUGUCUCUUCCUCGCCGCCGCCCUCCUCCUCCUCCUCCUCCUCCUCUCCGCCCGGUCGCUUCCUCGCGUCCCUCCGGUGUCGACAACACGCUUCUCGCCCGCCAUGAAGAAGUUUUCUCGGAUGCCCAAGUCGGACGGCACCGGCGGCAGCAGCGGCGGCGGCGGCGGCAGCGGCGGGGCAUCGUCGUCGUCGUCGGGCGCUGUCGCGGGCUCCCUGGCGGUGGGCAGCAGCAGGGUCUUCGCCGUGGGGCGCUUCCAGGUCACGGUGGAGGAGGUGCUGGCCGAAGGUGGCUUUUCCACGGUACUCCUUGUGCGCACUCAUGGUGGAGUUCGGUGUGCAUUGAAAAGAAUGUAUGUGAAUAAUGUGCCUGACCUCAAUAUCUGCAAAAGGGAAAUAACAAUAAUGAAAGAACUGUCUGGGCACAAGAACAUUGUAGGGUAUUUGGAUUGUGCUGUCAACUCUGUUAGUGAUAAUGUGUGGGAGGUGCUUAUCUUAAUGGAAUAUUGUCGCGUGGGGCAAAUAGUGAAUCAGAUGAACCAGAGAUUACAAACGGGCUUUACUGAAUCAGAAGCGCUAAGAAUUUUUUGUGAUGCCUGUGAAGCUGUUGCUAGGCUGCACCAGUGCAAAACACCCAUUGUUCAUAGAGACUUGAAGGUUGAAAACCUUUUAUUGAACGACAGUGGGAACUAUGUCCUCUGUGACUUUGGCAGUGCCACUAAUAAAUUCCUUAAUCCUCAGAAAGAUGGAGUCAGUGGAGUUGAAGAAGAAAUUAAAAAGUAUACCACAUUGUCAUAUAGAGCUCCUGAAAUGAUCAAUCUUUAUGGAGGGAAAACAAUUACAACUAAGGCAGAUAUCUGGGCCCUUGGCUGCUUGCUGUAUAAACUUUGUUUUUUCACACUUCCCUUUGGUGAGAGUCAGGUUGCUAUUUGUGAUGGAAGCUUCACCAUCCCAGACAAUUCGCGUUAUUCUCACAGUAUGCAUUGUUUGAUAAGAUACAUGCUUGAACCAGAUCAAGAGCGACGACCUGAUAUCUUUCAAGUAUCUUACUUUGCCUUUAAACUUGCCAAAAAGGAUUGUCCAAUUUUAAACAUGAAUAAUUCUCCUCUCCCUUCAACUCUUCCUGAGCCCUUGACAGCUAGUGAGGCUGCUGCUAAGAAAAGCCAAAUAAAAGCUAGAAUAACAGAUGCCAUUGGACCAACAGAAACCUCAAUAGCACCGCGUCAGAGACCAAAGGCCAAUACAAGCAGUGCCACUUCUAGUGUACUUACUAUUCAGAGCGCAGCCACACCAGUAAAAGUGCCAGUUCCUGGGGAUUUUAACAAUGAACACAAAGGAGCCUCAAAGGUUGGAAAUGGUCAGGAGAAUGUAUUAUCACCAGGAACCCCACAGCAAAACAGAGUAUUGCAGCAACUACAGCAAGGUGACUGGAGGCUACAGCAGUUGCAUCAUUUACAUCAGCAACAGCAACAACAACAAUUGCUCCAUGAUUCAUACGUGCAGCAGUUACAGUAUCAGCAAGCAAUGCAGCAGCAUGUCGUUCAACAGCAGCUUUUGAUACGCUCUGUGUACCAGCAGCAACCACCCCCUUCUCCAUAUCCUGCUAUGAUGCAGCAGUACCAACAAGCUCUUCUACAGCAACAGGUCCUUGGGAAUCAGUUGCCACCACCGAAACGUUCUCCUGAAUUUCUUACCUCCCCUCAGGAGUUUUCACCAGCCUUAAUCUCUCAUUCUAAAUCCUUUCCAGCUCAUGUUGGUGCAGCUCUGGAGGCUCCUUAUUCCACAAACAGAUCAUCUUCCUCUGACACAGAGUCUGCUUCCAGCUACCCAAAACAAAACAUCAGCAAUCCCCCGGAUAUGUCUGGGUGGAACCCAUUUGGAGAAGACAACUUCUCCAACCUGACAGAGGAGGAGCUGCUGGACAGGGAGUUUGACCUUCUGAGAUCAAACAGGCUGGUGGAGAGGAGAACUUCCUUAGAUAAACCAGUGGAGUCACAUUCUGCUCCACUCAGCCAUCCUUCAGAAGAUGCCUUUGGUUCUGUUCCUUUCCUUUCUCAUGCAGGCCCCCCAGGAAAUGAAAUUAAUAACCCAGCCAGCCAUCUAGAAAAUACAUUAGAGAGUCUUUCUAAGUAUGAAAGGCCAAGCCAGGUUGUUAAGGACCAGGAUGCUGGAAAGAAGGGCACGGAAGCACAAACUAAGAAAGGAAACAAUGAAUCGGAGAGCGAUUUUGAAUCGGAUCCCCCUUCUCCAAAGAGUAGUGAGGAAGAGGAAGAGCAGGAGGAUGAAGAGGUCUUGCAGGCUGAGUCUGGAGACUUCAUUGACGACAACGAUACAGAACCAGAAAACCUAGGCCAGCAUCCCCUUCUGAUGGAUUCUGAAGAAGAUGGAGAAGAGGACGAUAAGCACAGUUCUGACUCUGAUUCUAACCAUUUCCGGCCUGCAGAAGAAGUACCUUGCAGUAGAUACAGAGAAGGGCCUGGUAGUACAGAAAGUAGAGAGACAAUCCUUCCCUGUCCUUCAUCGACGGAGGUCCCAGCUUCCAGUCUGAGCCCCAAACAAGAAUUUGAUGUCUUUGGAGCAGUUCCAUUCUUCGUUUUGCAUCCCCAAGAACAAAAAGAUACUUCUCCUCAAGUUGUCCCCCGUGAGCCAGACCAGGAUGACUUCGAUGUCUUUACCAAAGCCCCCUUCAGCAGAAGAAUAUCUCAGCAAGAUGAGUCGGUUUCAGGUUCCGAACCUCAAGCGUCUCCCGUCUCCCCCAAAAGCGUGGAUGUUUUUGGCUGCCUCCCAUUCCAGCCCGUUUCCCUCCAAAGGCCUGGUGAAACCAGAGAGGAUCUCUUCGGCCUGGUCCCGUUUGAGGAGAUCACCGGGAGCCAGCAGCAACACAAAGCGAAGCAGCAACAGCGGAAUCUGCAGAAGCUCUCUUCCCGUCAGAGGCGCAUGAAGCAGGAGGGGUCGAAGAGCAACGGCAAGCGCCAUCACGGAACCCCCACCAGCACCAAGAAGAACUUGAAGCCCAGCUAUCGGACGCCAGAGAGAGCCCGACGGCACAAGAAAGCCGGCCGCCGAGAUUCCCAAAGCAGCAACGAGUUUCUGACCAUUUCCGAUUCCAAGGAAAACAUCAGUAUUGCCCUGUCGGAUAGCAAGGAGAGAGUCAAUCCCCUGCCGGGUGAUGAUAACCUCCUGGAUCCCUUUGGAGCCAAGCCUUUCCAUCCAGCAGAAGGGCUGCGUCCCCCCCAACACCAGGGAUUGGGUGAUAAUCGUGGGGAUCACAACACAGCAGCGCCCGGGAGACCCAGGCAGAGUUCCUUUCUUGGUAGCCUUCAUUCCGGCGACGGUGUAAAAUUAACGGAUGAUUUUGGAGCGGUUCCUUUCACCGAAUUCAUGCCAAGUGUGACGUCUCAGCAGAGCCAGCAGCAACAGGCAAUAGAGUUAGAUCCAUUUGGGGCAGCUCCCUUUCCUUCCAAACAAUAGACUCUUUUUAGGAACCUCUGAAUAUUUCUUUUUUUAAAACUUGGAUUUAAUACGCCACUGUAAAUCCAUUUCCUUCGAUUGAGAAGGAAAUGUUUUAUUUUUUGGUUUUUAAAGUACAACACGCUUACUACUCUGCUGCAACGAGAUUUUUAACAUCGGCAGUGUUAAAAGAGGCAAGAUUGGGAUGAAUAAAAUGGCGAAAGUUUGAAUAGAGAAAAUCUUUCCGAAAGUUAGGUCAGAAGAUCACAGAGGAUAUUGGCUAUGACUAGUAUAGUGUUUCUCAACCUUGACAAUUUUAAGGCACGUGGACUGCAACUCCCAGAAUUCCACAGCCAGCAUUGCUGGCUGUGGAAUUCUGGGAGUUGAAGUCCACAUGCCUUAAAAUUGUCAAGGUUGAGAAACACUGGACUAGAACAUUCAGAAUUGCAUCCUGCGUAGAGGGCAAUUACACUUGAAUUAAUGGAGAGAUGGAAGGAUCAGACUGGGUCGACGAAAUGAAAUAGGAUCUUAUCCGUCAGAAAUCGAGAAAACAUCUAAAAAAAAAAAACCAGGUUUAUCUAGAACUGCUUCUUUGUACCUCUUCUAAAGGUUUUUAGAAAGAAAAAAAAAAAAACCACCCUCUUCUUAAAUCUCUGAAAAUCAGAGCUUGCUCUCUUGAUAGUGGUUCCUAAACGUAUAUGAAGAAACCCAAAUCUUUCUAUCUGCCUGAACUGUGCUUUUUCACAGUAAGUGCCAUUAAUACGAAACAGGGAUUGUUGUAAUUCUUAGACUUUCGAGAACUUAGCUGGGGAUGUUGGAAGUGGGAAUGGAAUGAGAAAGCAUCAGCACUAACAGUUAACUUCUGCAGCACUUUUGAAGAUUGCUCAUUUGAGAAGAGAGAGCGUGGUUGACUUGCAUGCCAUACCAACACGUACCGUUUUGGAGAAGGAGGGGGGAAACAGCCAGAAAAUUGUAGCAAAUUCAGACCUCUUAAAAAAGAGUUCAAUCAGAGUUUUCACCCCGUGUCUGCUCACUUUACAGGGGUUUUGUAUUUCAUAUGAACUGGAUAUACCCCGAAAGGUUUUUAGCCUUCUAAAAUGGUUCUCACCUAAUUUUUUGAAUGCUUUCUGUAUCACAUGAUCGUACUUUUCUAAGACUUUAUUACAAAACACACCGAUCCGUUUCCAACAAAAAGGAGGUUUAGAAUUGAAGGCUUGAAAAUGAUGCUGUUUUGAGUCUCUUACCAUUAACUGCAUAGUAAAACCAGCAAUGCCUUACAGCCAGGACCACGUCCUGAUAUAAGUUUACCUCUGAGCCAAGUGGUGCCCUUGAGACACAGAUUGUAACAUUUGGAAAACUUAGAUUGAAAUAUCCAUUCGAGGCUACUUCCCUGGUGUGUUCCACCCAGAUAUACUCUUUGGAGAUGAUCCUGCAACAAUAAAAUUCAGUAGCAAGCACCCAGGGCUGCCCAGAAGUCCUCAAGUUUUCUCCUAACGAUAAGAAGAAGAAGAAAAAAAAUCUACUGUGAGAAUAAAAGGAGAUAGCUACUACUGUGAGAAUAGCAAUUAGAGUUUAUCAGAAUAUUUUUGUACAUGAUAGUGUAUUUUUAUAGACAGAUGUAUAUAAAGCAUACACACGCACACAUCGCUUUAUCUCUUGGGAGUCUGUGAUUUUAAAUAUAGCAUUGCAGUCACAAUCAUUUUCUCGGCAUUGGAAAACGAAAUGGAGCCAAAAGCUACUAAAAAAGAAUAAUAAGGAAAAUGCAAAAACAGUGUCUGGUUAUUUUUCUAGAGCGCUUUGAAGAGAAAUAUUGUAAACCAUUGCCAAUGUUAAGUUUCUGGAAUAAGAACAUCACUUAAGAAUAAAACGACAAUGUUACAUUCUACUUGCUGGCAAACAGCGCCAAGUGCACUUUUCAAAAUUACACUUCCAUUUCUUCUUUCUCUUUUUUUUUUGUUAGACUUGAAAUUUCUAAAGCAUUGUGCGGUGUGUAUGUGUGCAUGUAUGUGUAUGGGUAACCACUAAUAACAGAUCUUUUUGUGCAAAAAUGAUGUACGUAAAAGAACUUCCAGUCGUUAAAGUCAACCAGAUGUUUCUGUAACACCAACCACUGUGUGAAUUUGCAACGGAGCUGGGGUGCUACGAGUAAAACUUGUCAUUCCAGUACUGUAUGAAGAUUUUUCCAAUGUGUAAGGUCUCCUUUGCAUCUCCUUUUAACUUAAUCUUGUUCCAUCCAAUGCCAGCUGUUAUAAUAAAAGUCUUACUGUACCUUUUUCAAA